UACGAAGGGGGCUAGCGUUGUUCGGAUUUACUGGGCGUAAAGGGCGUGUAGGCGGCCCGUUAAGACAGGUGUGAAAUUCCUGGGCUCAACCCAGGACGUGCGCCUGUGACUGGCGGGCUUGAGUCCGGGAGAGGAUGGUGGAACUCCCAGUGUAGAGGUGAAAUUCGUAGAUAUUGGGAAGAACACCCGUGGCGAAGGCGGCCAUCUGGACCGGUACUGACGCUAAGGCGCGACAGCGUGGGGAGCAAACAGGG
rnacentral:rRNA from 1 species